UCUAUAGUAGCUUAAAACAAAGCAUUUAACUGUUAAUUAAAAAGAUACUUACAAAAAGUCUACAGAG
rnacentral:tRNA from 1 species